GAUGAACGCUGGCGGCGUGCUUAAUACAUGCAAGUCGAGCGAACGGACGAGAAGUUUGUUUCUCUGAUGUUAGCGGCGGACGGGUGAGUAACACGUGGAUAACCUACCUAUAAGACUGGGAUAACUUCGGGAAACCGGAGCUUAUACCGGAUAAUAUUUUGAACCGCAUGGUUCAAAAGUGAAAGACGGUCGUGCUGUCACUUAUAGAUGGAUCCGCGCUGCAUUAGCUAGUUGGUAAGGUAACGGCUUACCAAGGCAACGAUGCAUAGCCGACCUGGGAGGGUGAUCGGCCACACUGGAACUGGGACGCGGUCCAGGCUCCUACGGGAGGGAGAAGUAGGGAAUCUGCCGCAAUGGGCGAGAGCCUGACGGAGCAGCGCCGAGUGAGUGAUGAAGAUCUUCGGAUCGUGAAGCUCUGUUAUUAGGGAAGAACAUAUGUGUAAGUAGCUGUGCACAUCUUGACGGUACCGAAUCAGAAAGCCACGGCUAACUACGUG
rnacentral:rRNA from 1 species